AUGAAAGGCACGUGAUCAUACGGUUUUAGUUUAAGCUGCGACUCAACUGCGAAAACAAGCCAAUGCAGAUGUAAAAAAUCAGAAAGAUAUGCAGUUUUCAUUUUUUAUCCUCCUCUGGUCGGUACAGUAUUGGGCCGCACUGACACAACACUUAGAGCUCAGAGAUUACACAAGGGCAAUGCCAGUAAUUUAUGUACACACACACACACACACACACUUUCUGAACUGCUUGUCCCAUUCAGGGGUCGCGGAGAGCCAGAGCCUAACCUGGCAACACAGGGCGGAAGGCUGGAAGGGGAGGGGACACACCCAGGACGGGACGCCAGUCUGUCGCAAGGCACCCCAAGCGGGACUCGAACCCCAGACCCACUGGAGAGCAGGACCCAGUCCAAUCCACUGUGCCACCACGCCCCCCUAUGUAAUUUAUGUCCAAGGUUUGCCAAAGCUGGGAGCAUUUUUGAAGGGUUACAUUCUCAGUUGUUCAGAUGUCAGUAUGGAGCUAAGAGAGACAAGAAAACGUAACUCAGCAGUGAGCAGACACUGCACUUAAUGUGCAGAGUAUAGCCUUUCACAGCAGCAAGUAGCAGAACACCAGAUCUUCACAUGCCCACAGGAAGCUGAAAUGGGACGGAUGAGAGAUGAUUGACAUCUGGCAGCUUGCAAAAUGACAGCAAAGGGUGCAACUAACGUACCCCAAAUUUAGGGGGAAUGACACUGAAUGACAUUUCAGUGUGGUACCCUAAAUACAAAGAAUCUCAGCCUUGUACAGCACAUUAAGCUUCAGAUUUGAAACAUUUAAAAAUGUAACAACAUGCACGCGUUGUAAAUGUAAUUCACUGCAAAAAUCACCCUGUAAUCCAUAGCUUACUUUCACAAAUGUCAAACAACAUCAGAUGUGCUUGCUUGCAUUUCAUAAAGACAUUGUUUCAGAGUUCCCAAUAUAACCUAACACAGUGACACUGCCAACAUGGUUGUGCUGAUCUGUGAUUUGCAGCACCAAAUGCAUUUAAUAAUAAAAUUAAAAAUGUUCGGUACCUGUUAUUUGAG
rnacentral:lncRNA from 1 species